GAUGAAGAACGUAGCGAAAUGCGAUACGUAAUGUGAAUUGCAGAAUUCAGUGAAUCAUCGAAUCUUUGAACGCACAUUGCGCCUGCCAGCACUCUGGCAGGCAUGCCUGUUCGAGCGUCAUUUCAACCAUCAAGCCCUAGGCUUGCGUUGGAGCCCUGCGGCUGCCGCAGGCACCUAAAAGCAGUGGCGGGCUCGCUAUCACACCGAGUGCAGUAGAUUACUCUUCGCUCAGGGCGUGUGGCGGGUUCUUGCCGUAAAACAACCCCCCCUUUUCACCAAGGUUGACCUCGGAUCAGGUAGGAAUACCCGCUGAACUUAAGCAUAUCAAUAAGCGGAGGA
rnacentral:misc_RNA from 1 species